UUUGGAAGUUUGUAUGAAAGUCCUAUGUUUUUGAAGUAAGAGACUUGAAAUUUAAAAUGUAUGCUCUAUAGAUGGUGAGAAGGUAUCUAAAUUAUGUGCCUUUAGAAAUCAACCCCUUCUUGGGGUCAAAACGGGGGAUGGUAGUUUGACUAGCUCAUCACGAAGUCUUCGAAACUGUAACAGAUACAAACUUGAAAUUUGACAG
rnacentral:misc_RNA from 1 species